UACAGAGGUCUCAAGCGUUUGUUCGGAUUCAUUGGGCGUUAAAGGGUGCGUAGGCGGCGCGGUAAGUCGGAUGUGAAAUCUUGGAGCUUAACUCCGAAACUGCAUUCGAUACUGCCGUGCUUGAGGACUGGAGAGGAGACUGGAAUUUACGGUGUAGCGGUGAAAUGCGUAGAUAUCGUAAGGAAGACCAGUGGCGAAGGCGGGUCUCUGGACAGUUCCUGACGCUGAAGCACGGAAGGCCAGGGGGAGCAAAACGGG
rnacentral:rRNA from 1 species